AUUGAACACUGGCGGCAUGCCUUACACAUGCAAGUCGAACGGCAGCAUAGGAGCUUGCUCCUGAUGGCGAGUGGCGAACGGGUGAGUAAUAUAUCGGAACGUGCCCUAGAGUGGGGGAUAACUAGUCGAAAGACUAGCUAAUACCGCAUACGAUCUACGGAUGAAAGUGGGGGAUCGCAAGACCUAAUGCUCCUGGAGCGGCCGAUAUCUGAUUAGCUAGUUGGGGGGGUAAAAGCUCACGAAGGCGACGAUCAGUAGCUGGUCUGAGAGGACGACCAGCCACACUGGGACUGAGACACGGCCCAGACUCCUACGGGAGGCAGCAGUGGGGAAUUUUGGACAAUGGGGGCAACCCUGAUCCAGCAAUGCCGCGUGAGUGAAGAAGGCCUUCGGGUUGUAAAGCUCUUUUGUCAGGGAAGAAACGGUUCUGGAUAACACCUGGGACUAAUGACGGUACCUGAAGAAUAAGCACCGGCUAACUACGUGCCAGCCGCCGCCGUAA
rnacentral:rRNA from 1 species